GGGAACAAGAACUUCGGGCCCAAGAACAACAACAACAAGUUCAAGCGCCAUCAGACCAAGGGCGGCAAGAUGUUGUGCUCUUUCUGUGACUCGCCCAAGCAUCUUCAGAAAGCCUGUCCUGGUUUCAAGGAAUGGCUGAAAGAACAAGGUAUUCCGUACGAUCCGAACUAUAAGAAAGGGGGAGCGAAGUCUAAGAGUGGCUGAUGGGACUCCAGUUGAAGUUGAAGGUGUUGGAAGCUUCCACUUAGAGUUGCCGGGCGGCUUCCAGCUUAAUUUAGAUGAUGUCCUUUAUGCUCCUAGUUUAAAGAGAAACUUAAUUUCUGUUUCAGCAUUAGAUGAUUCGGGUCAUAUUUGUGAGUUUGGAAACAAUCAGUGUGUGAUAAAGUUUAAUUCAAUAAAUGUGGGUCUUGCUGUCAGGCAAGGCAAACUUUAUAUGCUCUCUCUUGAUGAUGAUUCUGUAAUGAAUGUCAGUAAUGUUUCGAAUAA